UCACGCGCGGCGGGAGAGCCCCGGGACCCACCGGGCGCCGAAGGAGCAAACCCUCCCCGGGAAACUCUCAGGCCAAGGUACCGCCGCAGCCCA
rnacentral:ncRNA from 2 species